AAAUGCCAAAAUAUUUUCGAGGCUCAGCAAGUCAAGCUCCAGGUGGCUCUUUCACGUUGAGAAGAGGUGAUGAUACGCUAAUAACAUAGAACUCCUUGGCAGUUCGAUCAAGACACUAGCAAGGACCAUGACAAUGACCGAUGCCAUUUGGCUUGUUAGUUAGUUUGUUGUUACUACUUGUUAGUCAAAGUUGGUCGAAGAUUCAAGAAUGGCUGACGGACUUGGAUGGAUGAGUGAUCCUUGAAUCAACACCACCCCUUAAAACGGUGGCUUUUGUUGUCAGAGCCGAAAACAUAGGCUGAAACAAUAGAUGAAACAGCAAAUGAACAGAGAAUGAGUGAACAGCCAACAUCCUGCAACUGUAACUUGGACGCUUUGUACGAACGACGAUAUAUAUAGAAUUUUGUUAACUCCGG
rnacentral:sRNA from 1 species